rnacentral:sRNA from 1 species
ACAACAAAGUAAAAAGACAGCAGAUUGAUUGUGUUGUAAACGAUUUAAUAAAGAGCUAGGAACAUGGUAUUCUCAGGAAACUAUUGGUUAGUAGAUCUAAUGAAAGCUAGGUUGUUAUCGAACCAUUCUUAAACUCAAACUCUAAUUAUGGAAUAACCGGUGUGCGUGCCGCAAAACUCCCUAUAUCUAUAGCCAAUAACAACCGGAGAAGCCGAGAAACUAUCAACCUAAAUAUGCAUUCUUAACGAGUUCAAUUGUUCAUCUUAGUAAAUAGGCUGAUUCUUAUUACACACCUAUAAACCAGACUCAUCAAAUAAUAGAUCCAACUACAGAUACCUAUGGCGGGAAUACCUAUUGUCUGGAUUCAAGAUCUAGUUAAUUACUCUAGAUCUAGCAUUAGGCAUAAUUAAAGAUGAAGAAUUCUACAGAUAACCUAGCAAAGGGGGCAAUCUACUAAACCAUAUGAAUCCCUAAUGAGAAACCCUAUUCCUAACAAGCAGACUACUCAGACAUAUUGAAUGAAACAAACAACAUAAUUGAGAUAGAAAGCUUAAACACAGUAAAUAGAGAAGGGGAAAGAAAGGAUCUCUUCACUGUAUAUAGAUCUGAAUGAAACUCUGAAAACAAUCGAUGAAUAGCUUAUGUCUCUCACAAUAGGGUUUGCAAAGAACUUGAUAAAAGACUUGAUAAAAGAAACUUAGGUCUAAAAACAAUAUAUAUAUACCC